rnacentral:rRNA from 1 species
GACGAACGCUGGCGGCGUGCUUAACACAUGCAAGUCGAACGGAAAGGCCCUGCUUUUGUGGGGUGCUCGAGUGGCGAACGGGUGAGUAACACGUGAGUAACCUGCCCUUGACUUUGGGAUACUUCAGGAAACUGGGGCUAAUACCGGAUAGGAGCUCCUGCUGCAUGGUGGGGGUUGGAAAGUUUCGGCGGUUGGGGAUGGACUCGCGGCUUAUCAGCUUGUUGGUGGGGUAGUGGCUUACCAAGGCUUUGACGGGUAGCCGGCCUGAGAGGGUGACCGGCCACAUUGGGACUGCGAUACGGCGCAGACUCCUACGGGAGGCAGCAGUCGGGAAUAUUGCACAAUGGGCGGAAGCCUGAUGCAGAAACGCCGCGUGCGGGAUGACGGCCUUCGGGUUGUAAACCGCUUUAGCCUGUGACGAAGCGUGAGUGACGGUAAUGGGUAAAGAAGCACCGGCUAACUACGUG